CCUACGGGGGGCAGCAGUGAGGAAUAUUGGUCAAUGGACGAGAGUCUGAACCAGCCAAGUCGCGUGAAGGAUGACUGCCCUAUGGGUUGUAAACUUCUUUUAUAUGGGAAUAAAACGUUCCACGUGUGGGAUUUUGUAUGUACCAUAUGAAUAAGGAUCGGCUAACUCCGUGCCAGCAGCCGCGGUAAUACGGAGGAUCCGAGCGUUAUCCGGAUUUAUUGGGUUUAAAGGGAGCGUAGGUGGAUUGUUAAGUUAGUUGUGAAAGUUUGCGGCGCAACCGUAAAAGUGCAGUUGAAACUGGCAGUCUUGAGUACAGUAGAGGUGGGCGGAAUUCGUGGUGUAGCGGUGAAAUGCUGAGAUAUCACGAAGAACUCCGAUUGCGAAGGCAGUUCACUGGACUGCAACUGACACUGAGGCUCGAAAGUGUGGGUAUCAAACAGGAUUAGAUACCCCAGUAGUC
rnacentral:rRNA from 1 species